rnacentral:rRNA from 1 species
AGAGUUUGAUCCUGGCUCAGAACGAACGCUGGCGGCGUGCUUAACACAUGCAAGUCGAGUGCGCGGUUGUAGCAAUACAACUGGCGCACGGCGCACGGGUGCGUAACACGUGGGCAAUCUGCCCUUCGAUGGGAAUAACUCCGGGAAACCGAAGCUAAUUCCGCAUAACAUUCCCUGGACUCCGGUUCGGGGAUUCAAAGCCGUAAGGCGUCGAAGGAGGAGCCCGCGCCCGAUUAGCUAGUUGGCAGGGUAACGGCCUACCAAGGCUAUGAUCGGUAGCUGGUCUGAGAGGAUGGCCAGCCACACUGGAACUGAGACACGGUCCAGACUCCUACGGGAGGCAGCAGUGGGGAAUCUUGCGCAAUGGGCGAAAGCCUGACGCAGCGACGCCGCGUGGGGGAUGAAGCAUCUCGGUGUGUAAACCCCUUUCGACUGGGACGAAUGCCUCGCAAGAGGAGUGACGGUACCAGUAGAAGAAGCCCCGGCUAACUACGUGCCAGCAGCCGCGGUAAGACGUAGGGGGCCAGCGUUGUUCGGAAUUACUGGGUGUAAAGGGUUCGUAGGCGGUGUGGCAAGUCGGGAGUGAAAUCUAUGGGCUUAACCCAUAGGCUGCUUCCGAAACUGCUGUGCUGGAGUGUGGGAGAGGCGCGUGGAAUUGCAGGUGUAGCGGUGAAAUGCGUAGAUAUCUGCAGGAACACCCGUGGCGAAAGCGGCGCGCUGGACCACUACUGACGCUGAGGAACGAAAGCUAGGGGAGCAAACAGGAUUAGAUACCCUGGUAGUCCUAGCCCUAAACGAUCACGACUUGGGGUGCCGCACGUUCGUGCGUCGUCCCGGAGCUAACGCGUUAAGUCCUGCACCUGGGGAGUACGGUCGCAAGACUGAAACUCAAAGGAAUUGACGGGGGCCCGCACAAGCGGUGGAACAUGUGGUUCAAUUCGACGCUACGCGA